UCUACCCGCCGCUAAGGCGAGUAACCCUUCAGGACUUUCACUUUCCAGAAGUCUUCUGGGUGUUCUUGCUUGUUUUUAAAAUUUAUUUUAUUCAAGCACAGUUUAUUGACAAUGUUGUGUUAAUUUUUUCUUUCUUUCUUUUUGGCCACACCGUUUGGCAUGCCUGCGGUAUCUUAGUUCCCAGUCCAGAGAUCGAACCCACGCCCCCUGCAGAGGAAGCUCAGAGUCUUAUGGUUUUCUAAGUAAGGAGCCUCCAUUUUUAGAGUACAGUUGGAUGAAUCUCGACGAAUGGGCAGCUGCACCACCCACCUCCCACAGAGCCCUGGCACGCCCUCCCUGCCCACUCCACUCGCUGGAGCCUUGCCUGUUCUUGGACUUCACGCGAAUGGAAUCGCACUGUCCAUCCUCCUCUGUGUUGGGCUUGUUCACUCAGCAUAAGGAUGUCCAGACCCUUCAGCUGUUCGCUGCCUUGUAUCACCGGGCAGCACCCCGCCGCACAGCUGUGAGUCAUCCCAGGCUGCACGCCUGGCAGGGUUGGCCAGUCUUGGAUGAGCUGCUUGUUACCAAUGUGCACGUUCAGAAUGAAGUCAUACAUUUUGGCAAGAAGCGAUGUGUCCUCCGGCAUUGUAUCGGGGACAACACGGCAUCCAUCUGUCUCAUGGCCAGUGACGUUAACCUUGAUGCCAGGUAGUAAACGUCGGCAGUGCUGUGUCUCUGGCUGGAUGGCUAAAGGUUGGUCGGGAGCAAGCCUCAAAGGCACCGCUGCUGGGGGAGCAGAGAUCUCGGCAGG